CCCGUACACAAAAAUGCACAUGCUGUGAGCUCGAUGAGUAGGGCGGGACACGUGGUAUCCUGUCUGAAUAUGGGGGGACCAUCCUCCAAGGCUAAAUACUCCUGACUGACCGAUAGUGAACCAGUACCGUGAGGGAAAGGCGAAAAGAACCCCGGCGAGGGGAGUGAAAAAGAACCUGAAACCGUGUACGUACAAGCAGUGGGAGCACGCUUAGGCGUGUGACUGCGUACCUUUUGUAUAAUGGGUCAGCGACUUAUAUUCUGUAGCAAGGUUAACCGAAUAGGGGAGCCGAAGGGAAACCGAGUCUUAACUGGGCGUUAAGUUGCAGGGUAUAGACCCGAAACCCGGUGAUCUAGCCAUGGGCAGGUUGAAGGUUGGGUAACACUAACUGGAGGACCGAACCGACUAAUGUUGAAAAAUUAGCGGAUGACUUGUGGCUGGGGGUGAAAGGCCAAUCAAACCGGGAGAUAGCUGGUUCUCCCCGAAAGCUAUUUAGGUAGCGCCUCGUGAAUUCAUCUCCGGGGGUAGAGCACUGUUUCGGCAAGGGGGUCAUCCCGACUUACCAACCCGAUGCAAACUGCGAAUACCGGAGAAUGUUAUCACGGGAGACACACGGCGGGUGCUAACGUCCGUCGUGAAGAGGGAAACAACCCAGACCGCCAGCUAAGGUCCCAAAGUCAUGGUUAAGUGGGAAACGAUGUGGGAAGGCCCAGACAGCCAGGAUGUUGGCUUAGAAGCAGCCAUCAUUUAAAGAAAGCGUAAUAGCUCACUGGUCGAGUCGGCCUGCGCGGAAGAUGUAACGGGGCUAAACCAUGCACCGAAGCUGCGGCAGCGACGCUGAUGCGUUGUUGGGUAGGGGAGCGUUCUGUAAGCCUGCGAAGGUGUGCUGUGAGGCAUGCUGGAGGUAUCAGAAGUGCGAAUGCUGACAUAAGUAACGAUAAAGCGGGUGAAAAGCCCGCUCGCCGGAAGACCAAGGGUUCCUGUCCAACGUUAAUCGGGGCAGGGUGAGUCGACCCCUAAGGCGAGGCCGAAAGGCGUAGUCGAUGGGAAACAGGUUAAUAUUCCUGUACUUGGUGUUACUGCGAAGGGGGGACGGAGAAGGCUAUGUUGGCCGGGCGACGGUUGUCCCGGUUUAAGCGUGUAGGCUGGUUUUCCAGGCAAAUCCGGAAAAUCAAGGCUGAGGCGUGAUGACGAGGCACUACGGUGCUGAAGCAACAAAUGCCCUGCUUCCAGGAAAAGCCUCUAAGCAUCAGGUAACAUCAAAUCGUACCCCAAACCGACACAGGUGGUCAGGUAGAGAAUACCAAGGCGCUUGAGAGAACUCGGGUGAAGGAACUAGGCAAAAUGGUGCCGUAACUUCGGGAGAAGGCACGCUGAUAUGUAGGUGAAGUCCCUUGCGGAUGGAGCUGAAAUCAGUCGAAGAUACCAGCUGGCUGCAACUGUUUAUUAAAAACACAGCACUGUGCAAACACGAAAGUGGACGUAUACGGUGUGACGCCUGCCCGGUGCCGGAAGGUUAAUUGAUGGGGUCAGCGCAAGCGAAGCUCUUGAUCGAAGCCCCGGUAAACGGCGGCCGUAACUAUAACGGUCCUAAGGUAGCGAAAUUCCUUGUCGGGUAAGUUCCGACCUGCACGAAUGGCGUAAUGAUGGCCAGGCUGUCUCCACCCGAGACUCAGUGAAAUUGAACUCGCUGUGAAGAUGCAGUGUACCCGCGGCAAGACGGAAAGACCCCGUGAACCUUUACUAUAGCUUGACACUGAACAUUGAGCCUUGAUGUGUAGGAUAGGUGGGAGGCUUUGAAGUGUGGACGCCAGUCUGCAUGGAGCCGACCUUGAAAUACCACCCUUUAAUGUUUGAUGUUCUAACGUGGACCCGUGAUCCGGGUUGCGGACAGUGUCUGGUGGGUAGUUUGACUGGGGCGGUCUCCUCCUAAAGAGUAACGGAGGAGCACGAAGGUUGGCUAAUCCUGGUCGGACAUCAGGAGGUUAGUGCAAUGGCAUAAGCCAGCUUGACUGCGAGCGUGACGGCGCGAGCAGGUGCGAAAGCAGGUCAUAGUGAUCCGGUGGUUCUGAAUGGAAGGGCCAUCGCUCAACGGAUAAAAGGUACUCCGGGGAUAACAGGCUGAUACCGCCCAAGAGUUCAUAUCGACGGCGGUGUUUGGCACCUCGAUGUCGGCUCAUCACAUCCUGGGGCUGAAGUAGGUCCCAAGGGUAUGGCUGUUCGCCAUUUAAAGUGGUACGCGAGCUGGGUUUAGAACGUCGUGAGACAGUUCGGUCCCUAUCUGCCGUGGGCGCUGGAGAACUGAGGGGGGCUGCUCCUAGUACGAGAGGACCGGAGUGGACGCAUCACUGGUGUUCGGGUUGUCAUGCCAAUGGCACUGCCCGGUAGCUAAAUGCGGAAGAGAUAAGUGCUGAAAGCAUCUAAGCACGAAACUUGCC
rnacentral:rRNA from 1 species